GCGAACGCUGGCGGCAGGCUUAACACAUGCAAGUCGAGCGGGCAUCCUUGUGGUGUCAGCGGCAGACGGGUGAGUAACGCGUGGGAACGUGCCCUUCGGUUCGGAAUAACUCAGGGAAACUUGAGCUAAUACCGGAUACGUGCGAGAGCAGAAAGGUUUAUCUGCCGAAGGAUCGGCCCGCGUCUGAUUAGCUAGUUGGUGAGGUUAUGGCUCACCAAGGCGACGAUCAGUAGCUGGUCUGAGAGGAUGAUCAGCCACACUGGGACUGAGACACGGCCCAGACUCCUACGGGAAGCAGCAGUGGGGAAUAUUGGACAAUGGGGGCAACCCUGAUCCAGCCAUGCCGCGUGAGUGAUGACGGCCUUAGGGUUGUAAAGCUCUUUUCUUCGGGACGAUAAUGACGGUACCGGAGGAAUAAGCCCCGGCUAACUUCGUG
rnacentral:rRNA from 1 species